UACGAAGGGGGCUAGCGUUGCUCGGAAUCACUGGGCGUAAAGCGCACGUAGGCGGACUCUUAAGUCGGUGGUGAAAUCCUGGAGCUCAACUCCAGAACUGCCUUCGAUACUGGGAGUCUCGAGUCCGGGAGAGGUGAGUGGAACUGCGAGUGUAGAGGUGAAAUUCGUAGAUAUUCGCAAGAACACCAGUGGCGAAGGCGGCUCACUGGCCCGGUACUGACGCUGAGGUGCGAAAGCGUGGGGAUCAAACAGG
rnacentral:rRNA from 1 species